AACUCAGACUUUUGAGCCAGAAGCUAGAAACACUUAUAUCGUCUUUGUCAGUUUCACACCCAAUUUUAGGGUUCAUACUCCUCUUUGAUCUCUGACGACGCCGGUGUUCUUAUACAUUAUUUGAAACCAACCAUGGAUUUUCAACAGGUUGAAUUUCUAAAAUAGGUUUCUCUCGACGACUUCACGGCGAAUCUCUUGAUCAAGCUCGGUUCGUUCCGUUUCGUCUUCUUCUUUUCUGAAUCGUUACGAAAUGCAUUUAUCAUCAUUAACGACCGUCUUAAAUCUUCGACCACUAGAACCAUGAUUCCUCAUUCAAUGCAAUCUCACUCUCUACACGACGUAUCCAGUUCAAAGGUCUCGGUUACACUAGAAAGAGAGGUUGUCCAACGCUUACAAAUACAUCGAUUUGUGAUAAUAACUUUUACACCGCAAGCUGUUGAACACUAUAAACUGGUAAGCUCAUAUACAAUUCCCUAAGGUUGUCCUUAAGUGUGUUAAUUUUAAUUGCUUACAGUAAUUCUUUGCGAAGUUUAUUCCGAUGGGUUUCCCACGAGAACAAGCCAGGAAUGAUAACUUUCUUAGAUCGUAGAUUAAAAAAAAACAAGACAGGGUACUCGGGGAGCUCAUGAAUGAUGAAGCUGAUCGAUAAUGGAUAGAUGGAUGAGAUUGGAAUUUAGGUUUCAGGGUGGAAUUAUGAGUCUGGUGAGUUGAACGAGAGCAGUAAGCGACUAAGAGUGUUCAAAAUGGAGGAGGAAAGUGUAAGAAGAAGGGAAUGCCUGCUAAGAAUCUGAUGGCUGUGAAGGGGAGGAGGAAGAAGCAAAAUGAUAGGCUUUAUAUGCUUAGAUCAGCAAAGUAAACAACAAACUUGAGUCAACUCCACCUGGAUCUUUGCCUCCAACUCCACAAAUCUUCCAUCCAUUAGCUCCUACACCUCAUAUUAUUUCUUUCUGUGUAAAGGAAGAAUUAUGUCCUUCAUCUUUGCCAAGCUUUAAAGGCCAACAAGCAAGAGUUGAGGUUAGACUAAGGGAAGGAUUUGCAGUGAACAUUAAGCGGUGAUUAGCUGUUUCAACGGGGUUGCCGUGAGUGUUUUCCACGCUGAGCAAUAUCAAGGACAUGAGAUAUUGCUUGAAAUCAAAGCAGUACUUCUUGAUAUAGCGGGCAACACUGAGAAUCUAAUAUGAGUAUAAGAGACAAAGGAAUCUGAGGUGUACAAGGAGAUAGUUUCAGCUACCAGGUGAAGAAAAUUUGGAGUUUUUUUGGUAAUGAUGAAGAUAUUAGAAAGUACAAAUUGAGAUUUGAAGAAUGGACAUAGAAAGAAAAUAAACAUUUUGUUUUCCCAUAAAUUGUUUUCCUUUCCCAUGAAGAUGUUAGUAGAAUUUAAUUCUCAGAAAUGUUUUCUAUGGAAUUGUGUUUGUAAUUUUACUACUUAUUUAGAUUAGAUUUUGAGUUGAUUAAAUAAAAAGUAUAGAAUUGUGUUUAAAAUAAAAUUAAAACACAAAACUGUCAUAUGCUACUAUUAGAAACAAAUGAAAAAAAAAAUUGUGUUUAAAAUAAAAUUAAACCACAAAACCGAAAUCUGAAUUAG